rnacentral:rRNA from 1 species
GUGUCAGCAGCCGCGGUAAUACGGAGGAUCCGAGCGUUAUCCGGAUUUAUUGGGUUUAAAGGGUGCGUAGGCGGCCUAUUAAGUCAGGGGUGAAAGACGGUAGCUUAACUAUCGCAGUGCCUUUGAUACUGAUAGGCUUGAAUGUACUUGAGGUAGGCGGAAUGUGACAAGUAGCGGUGAAAUGCAUAGAUAUGUCACAGAACACCAAUUGCGAAGGCAGCUUACUAAAGUAUGAUUGACGCUGAGGCACGAAAGCGUGGGGAUCAAACAGGAUUAGAUACCCUGGUAGUCC